UGUCAGUGGCAGACGGGUGAGUAACACGUGGGAACGUACCCUUUGGUUCGGAACAACUCUGGGAAACUGGAGCUAAUACCGGAUACGCCCUUGGCCUAUGGCCCUGGGGAAAGGUUUACUGCCGAAGGAUCGGCCCGCGUCUGAUUAGCUAGUUGGUGAGGUAAUGGCUCACCAAGGCUACGAUC
rnacentral:rRNA from 1 species